rnacentral:rRNA from 1 species
AGCGUACACGGUGGAUGCCCUGGCAGUCAGAGGCGAUGAAGGACGUGGUGUUUCGACACACUAUCAUUAACUGAAUCCAUAGGUUAAUGAGGCGAACCGGGGGAACUGAAACAUCUAAGUACCCCGAGGAAAAGAAAUCAACCGAGAUUCCCCCAGUAGCGGCGAGCGAACGGGGAGCAGCCCAGAGCCUGAAUCAGUGUGUGUGUUAGUGGAAGCGUCUGGAAAGGCGCGCGAUACAGGGUGACAGCCCCGUACACAAAAAUGCACAUGCUGUGAGCUCGAUGAGUAGGGCGGGACACGUGGUAUCCUGUCUGAAUAUGGGGGGACCAUCCUCCAAGGCUAAAUACUCCUGACUGACCGAUAGUGAACCAGUACCGUGAGGGAAAGGCGAAAAGAACCCCGGCGAGGGGAGUGAAAAAGAACCUGAAACCGUGUACGUACAAGCAGUGGGAGCACAGAGCAAUCUGUGUGACUGCGUACCUUUUGUAUAAUGGGUCAGCGACUUAUAUUCUGUAGCAAGGUUAACCGAAUAGGGGAGCCGAAGGGAAACCGAGUCUUAACUGGGCGUUAAGUUGCAGGGUAUAGACCCGAAACCCGGUGAUCUAGCCAUGGGCAGGUUGAAGGUUGGGUAACACUAACUGGAGGACCGAACCGACUAAUGUUGAAAAAUUAGCGGAUGACUUGUGGCUGGGGGUGAAAGGCCAAUCAAACCGGGAGAUAGCUGGUUCUCCCCGAAAGCUAUUUAGGUAGCGCCUCGUGAAUUCAUCUCCGGGGGUAGAGCACUGUUUCGGCAAGGGGGUCAUCCCGACUUACCAACCCGAUGCAAACUGCGAAUACCGGAGAAUGUUAUCACGGGAGACACACGGCGGGUGCUAACGUCCGUCGUGAAGAGGGAAACAACCCAGACCGCCAGCUAAGGUCCCAAAGUCAUGGUUAAGUGGGAAACGAUGUGGGAAGGCCCAGACAGCCAGGAUGUUGGCUUAGAAGCAGCCAUCAUUUAAAGAAAGCGUAAUAGCUCACUGGUCGAGUCGGCCUGCGCGGAAGAUGUAACGGGGCUAAACCAUGCACCGAAGCUGCGGCAGCGACGCUUAUGCGUUGUUGGGUAGGGGAGCGUUCUGUAAGCCUGUGAAGGUGUGCUGUGAGGCAUGCUGGAGGUAUCAGAAGUGCGAAUGCUGACAUAAGUAACGAUAAAGCGGGUGAAAAGCCCGCUCGCCGGAAGACCAAGGGUUCCUGUCCAACGUUAAUCGGGGCAGGGUGAGUCGACCCCUAAGGCGAGGCCGAAAGGCGUAGUCGAUGGGAAACAGGUUAAUAUUCCUGUACUUGGUGUUACUGCGAAGGGGGGACGGAGAAGGCUAUGUUGGCCGGGCGACGGUUGUCCCGGUUUAAGCGUGUAGGCUGGUUUUCCAGGCAAAUCCGGAAAAUCAAGGCUGAGGCGUGAUGACGAGGCACUACGGUGCUGAAGCAACAAAUGCCCUGCUUCCAGGAAAAGCCUCUAAGCAUCAGGUAACAUCAAAUCGUACCCCAAACCGACACAGGUGGUCAGGUAGAGAAUACCAAGGCGCUUGAGAGAACUCGGGUGAAGGAACUAGGCAAAAUGGUGCCGUAACUUCGGGAGAAGGCACGCUGAUAUGUAGGUGARGUCCCUCGCGGAUGGAGCUGAAAUCAGUCGAAGAUACCAGCUGGCUGCAACUGUUUAUUAAAAACACAGCACUGUGCAAACACGAAAGUGGACGUAUACGGUGUGACGCCUGCCCGGUGCCGGAAGGUUAAUUGAUGGGGUUAGCGGUAACGCGAAGCUCUUGAUCGAAGCCCCGGUAAACGGCGGCCGUAACUAUAACGGUCCUAAGGUAGCGAAAUUCCUUGUCGGGUAAGUUCCGACCUGCACGAAUGGCGUAAUGAUGGCCAGGCUGUCUCCACCCGAGACUCAGUGAAAUUGAACUCGCUGUGAAGAUGCAGUGUACCCGCGGCAAGACGGAAAGACCCCGUGAACCUUUACUAUAGCUUGACACUGAACAUUGAGCCUUGAUGUGUAGGAUAGGUGGGAGGCUUUGAAGUGUGGACGCCAGUCUGCAUGGAGCCGACCUUGAAAUACCACCCUUUAAUGUUUGAUGUUCUAACGUUGACCCGUAAUCCGGGUUGCGGACAGUGUCUGGUGGGUAGUUUGACUGGGGCGGUCUCCUCCUAAAGAGUAACGGAGGAGCACGAAGGUUGGCUAAUCCUGGUCGGACAUCAGGAGGUUAGUGCAAUGGCAUAAGCCAGCUUGACUGCGAGCGUGACGGCGCGAGCAGGUGCGAAAGCAGGUCAUAGUGAUCCGGUGGUUCUGAAUGGAAGGGCCAUCGCUCAACGGAUAAAAGGUACUCCGGGGAUAACAGGCUGAUACCGCCCAAGAGUUCAUAUCGACGGCGGUGUUUGGCACCUCGAUGUCGGCUCAUCACAUCCUGGGGCUGAAGUAGGUCCCAAGGGUAUGGCUGUUCGCCAUUUAAAGUGGUACGCGAGCUGGGUUUAGAACGUCGUGAGACAGUUCGGUCCCUAUCUGCCGUGGGCGCUGGAGAACUGAGGGGGGCUGCUCCUAGUACGAGAGGACCGGAGUGGACGCAUCACUGGUGUUCGGGUUGUCAUGCCAAUGGCACUGCCCGGUAGCUAAAUGCGGAAGAGAUAAGUGCUGAAAGCAUCUAAGCACGAAACUUGCCCCGAGAUGAGUUCUCCCUGACUCCUUGA